CCACUGCCUGCCCAAACUUAAUUUCCCCCAUUUUUUCCUUCUUCCUUUUCCCCUUUUUUUUUCAUUUCCUUUCAGGUUUGUAGAGCCCUUAAUUUCACAACACUGUUUCAAAACAGUGAGCAAACCUUAAUCUGAGAGGAGAAGAUAGAGGGUUUGAAAAGAGACUGGGGUUGAAGGGGAAGGGUUUCAAUCGGCGGCGAGACUAGUUCAGCAACGGUGAGACUAGUUCGGCGGCGAGACGGAAUACCAAAUCAUUCUGACUUACCAAGGCCAGAUCAUGCAAGUUUUCCCUUAAUUAAUGACUUGCCAAGUUCUUGACAGGAACCUUUGGAUAUACAGCUCCAGAACUUGCUUACGCUAUGGAAGUGAAUGAGAAGUUGGAUGUAUAUAGCUUUGGAGUUUUAAUACUGGAAGUUUUAAUGGGGAAGCAUCCGGGCGAUCUCAUCUCAUCUCUUUCCUCAUCACCACCCACUGUUUAUGGUGUAUUGUUGAAAGAUAUAUUGGAUAUGCGCCUCCCAUCUCCUGGGAAUCAUGUGGAAGAAGAAGUGAUCCUUGUUGUGAAGCUAGCAUUGGCAUGUUUACACACCAGUCCACAGUGCCGACCAACAAUGCGACAAAUUUCUGUGGCUCUAUCAAAACAGAGACCACCUUUGCAGAAUUCAUUUCACUUGAUUUCAUUAUGACAACUCUUUGAUGUCAAAUGUUCAACCUCCUGAGCAUUCUCCUCUUCCCUUUAUUGUUUUGUGCUUUUGUUUUUCUAUUUUUACUUUGAAAUUUUGAUUUCCGUUCUCUUUGUUAUCUAUUUCUCUACAAUUUUCUGUGUUCAAAGUUGGAAACACAUUGAAAUACUGUUGGUAAAUAAAAACGUGUUCCUGGACCA